GUGUGCUAUUGUUUAAUGAGAGGUAUCAACCAAGGUUGAAGUGGCUGGUUACUCACUGAAGCAAAGGCACAAAAAACCUCCUGGUACUUACGCCUAUUGCUUGGAUGAGAACCCAAUAUUAUGCCAGUUGAGAAAACGUCGGUGUUACAACAGUUGGUUAUUCAUAACAUACCGAAGUUUUGUCAGAUUUGUUAAUGAAGAGUGUCCAUACACAUGUGGGAUGUGUUGAAAGGCCAGGCAGAGCAAGACACAAGGGAAGGCUGUUGAAAUACUGUUCCAACAACAAAGCUAUUUUAAAAACUAUUUUACACCACAUUAUCAAGUUGUGUCCAUUUUUGCUGCAGUAGAUUACAUUAAUUUUUUUGUGCAUUAAAAUAUAUAGUUUAGUAUUAAUAGUACAUUAACUCCUUUAUUGAUGAGAAAAAUGAGUCCACAGAUACCACAACUAGCUCUAAUACCAUCUUGUAUAUCAUUUCAUCGUGAGGAAGACAAAGAAGAAUGUUUAAGGUGGCUCAGUUCUGACAGUAAACAGUUUGGUGCCUGAUGGAUCACUACAACCCUAUAUUAGUUAAGAAUAUAAAAUUUUGUCAAAUGAAUGCUUUUAAGUAUCACAUCACUACCUUGUAAUAACCUUCACAGCAGCAGUAUACAUGCAACCAAUUAAAAUUUACAAAGCAUCCCUGGUUUUGUUUUUUUUCGCUCACAGCGUAUAAUUAGAACCAUGAACCCUAUUUUUGUAAUUGAAAUAUGAUCCGCAAAACAAAAAAUAAAUGAUUUUCAGUU